CGUGCUGUUGGAGUGCACGUCCAAGCAGUAAGGCUGAGUGUUAGGCAAAUCCGGCACUCGUUAGGCUGAGCUGUGAUGGGGAGAGGAAAUUGUUUCCUCGAGUCGUUGAUUUCACACUGCCGAGAAAAGCCUCUAGAUAGAUAACAGGUGCCCGUACCGCAAACCGACACAGGUAGUCAAGAUGAGAAUUCUAAGGUGAGCGAGCGAACUCUCGUUAAGGAACUCGGCAAAAUGACCCCGUAACUUCGGGAGAAGGGGUGCUCUUUAGGGUUCACGCCCAGAAGAGCCGCAGUGAAUAGGCCCAAGCGACUGUUUAUCAAAAACACAGGUCUCUGCUAAACCGUAAGGUGAUGUAUAGGGGCUGACGCCUGCCCGGUGCUGGAAGGUUAAGAGGAGUGGUUAGCUUCUGCGAAGCCACGAAUCGAAGCCCCAGUAAACGGCGGCCGUAACUAUAACGGUCCUAAGGUAGCGAAAUUCCUUGUCGGGU
rnacentral:rRNA from 2 species